rnacentral:rRNA from 2 species
CCCGAUGAACCUGAAUAUCCAUUAUGGAAAAUUCAUCAUUAAUAUUACUAUAUUUAAAAAUAUAAUAAAAAUAGUGUGCAAUUUUUCCAUAUAAGGACAUUGUAAUCUGUUAAUGUAUUAAAUAUUUAUCAAAAAAUCUAAAACAUAAGUUUGUACAAAUUAGUUAUUUUCGAAUUUCUAACAUAGCACAAUAGUAUUAGAUUUGAUAAAUCAUUGACAGAUUGUAUUAUAUAUAAUGCUUAAAUUCAAUAUGAAUUUUAUAAUAAUAAUAAAAAUUAAUUUUUAUUUAUAAUUAUAUGCGUUUAUAUGAUUAACAAUGCGAUAGAUUCAGGAUACCUUCGGGACCCGUCUUGAAACACGGACCAAGGAGUCUAACAUAUGUGCAAGUCAUUGGGUAUUUUUAAUAAAACCCAAUGGCAUAAUUAACUUAACUGUUUUUUAAUGGGAUUAGUUUGCAUUUUAUUAUGAAAUAUAAAUUCAAUCCCGGGGCGUUCUAUAUAGUUAUGCAUAAUGAUAUUUAUAUUAUUUAUGCCUCUAACUAGAGCG